UGCAUUAUGGAUAGCGCAGUUGGUAGAGCAUGAGACUCUUAAUCUCAGGGUCAUGAGUUCAAGUCAUGUUUGGCAA